rnacentral:RNase_P_RNA from 1 species
GAAGUCAGCCAGACAGUCGCUCUUUUUCAGUUGGUUUUUCCAGCUGCAAAUUGGGAGGAAAGUCCGGGCUCCACAGGGUAAGGUGCCAGGUAACACCUGGGCGGCGCGAGCCGACGGAAAGUGCAGCAGAAAGUAAACCGCCUAAGCCAGUUCACUGGCCGGUAAGGGUGAAAUGGUGCGGUAAGAGCGCACCGCGCGACUGGUAACAGCUCGUGGCAAGGUAAACCCCACUCGGAGCAAGGCCAAAUAGGGAUCCUACGAUGCUGCUCGCAUUGGAUUCGGGUAGGCCGCUACAAGUCUGCGGUGACGCAGAUUGCAGAUGAAUAAUUGUCCUAGACAGAACCCGGCUUACAGGCUGACUCGCUAA